UAAACCAUGCACCGAAGCUGCGGCAGCGACACUAUGUGUUGUUGGGUAGGGGAGCGUUCUGUAAGCCUGCGAAGGUGACCUGUGAGGGUUGCUGGAGGUAUCAGAAGUGCGAAUGCUGACAUAAGUAACGAUAAAGCGGGUGAAAAGCCCGCUCGCCGGAAGACCAAGGGUUCCUGUCCAACGUUAAUCGGGGCAGGGUGAGUCGACCCCUAAGGCGAGGCCGAAAGGCGUAGUCGAUGGGAAACAGGUUAAUAUUCCUGUACUUGGUGUUACUGCGAAGGGGGGACGGAGAAGGCUAUGUUAGCCGGGCGACGGUUGUCCCGGUUUAAGCAUGUAGGCUGGUUAUCCAGGCAAAUCCGGAUAAUCAAGGCUGAGGUGUGAUGACGAGGCACUACGGUGCUGAAGUAACAAAUGCCCUGCUUCCAGGAAAAGCCUCUAAGCAUCAGGUAACAUCAAAUCGUACCCCAAACCGACACAGGUGGUCAGGUAGAGAAUACCAAGGCGCUUGAGAGAACUCGGGUGAAGGAACUAGGCAAAAUGGUGCCGUAACUUCGGGAGAAGGCACGCUGGUGUGUAGGUGAAGUCCCUGCGGGUGGAGCUGAGACCAGUCGAAGAUACCAGCUGGCUGCAACUGUUUAUUAAAAACACAGCACUGUGCAAACACGAAAGU
rnacentral:rRNA from 1 species